UUCACAUCUGCAUAAAAAGACAUGCUGAAGGAUGUUCCUUGCAGAAUGGUUAUAGAGAAAAAUGGGAAUAACCACGAUAUAAAGUAACAGCACACAUAUUUUACUGUAAAAUCUAUUUAGCCACCUAUGGGACUAUAUUGUAUGAAUCCUACAUUGUGCUUAUGGAGUGUACAGCUGAAGGAUCAGGAUAAGCUGUGGUCAUUCUGGAUUUUCAAGAGCAUCGUGAAGAAAAAUGAAUGUUUGCCAUAAGCACAAAGGUGACUUUCAUACCUUUUUUCUCACAAGUAAAUGAGAAGGGGUUUUAAAGAGUUAGCUUUGAGAAAAGAAGGUCAUGUCAAAGGAGAUAUCCAGUGAAUGAUUGCAAUAAGAUCAGAAAAU
rnacentral:lncRNA from 10 species